CUCUUCUCAAUGAGCUCCUUCCUGCCCACAAAUCCAUGGCAGCCUAUGGAUUCGCACGAGAAGAAUAUUAACUGUUCAGUAUUGGCAAACUCACACUAUGGUGCUCCAUCGAUUGUGAUUUAGCCAGUGCUGUUCAACAAGU
rnacentral:snoRNA from 1 species